rnacentral:lncRNA from 1 species
UUCUCUCUACUCUCUCUUUGGAGCUUGCUUCUACAUUUGAAGCCUCCUUUCUAAGUUCUAAUCUUCCUCUUCAUAAACAAGAAAACACUCGAGCUUUGCGGGCACGCGUAAGAACAUCAUCUAAGCAACCAGUAUCAACAUUUCAAAUAUGCUACACAUAGGAACGCACUCGUGCCUUAGAUUGCUUCUAAAUCUAAAAACAAUUACUUGUAUUCUUUGUGGUGUAAAACAAUAUAUUUAAUAUAAUGAAACUUUUAGUACCAUGUGUUGUGAGCAAUUGGAAUGUGACUCCCCGAUGAUUCCGUCGUGAGUUGUUUUUACGCGGUCGGGGUGUAACGGGCCAAGAGGAGGCAAUGAAGCAAGCACGAACACGGACGCUCAAGAUUGGGAAUCACACAGGGAUGGAUUAUUAG